rnacentral:tRNA from 1 species
GCCGGGGUGGCGGAACGGCAGACGCAGGAGACUUAAAAUCUCCCGACCGCAAGGUCAUGAGGUUUCGAAUCCCUCCCCCGGCA